GCCUUCUUCCAGUGGAUGCUCAGUUUGGAGGAAUGACAGUUGGUCCAAGCAACUGCCCCCCAACUCCCACCUCUGGUGAUUGGUCGGGGCAAGGACUCGUUCUGGCCAAUGAGAUGUUAGAGGAAAUCUGUGGGGGCUUCUGUGAGAGAUUUCCCUUCCUGAAAAGAAAGAGAUGGGCAGGGAGGAAGAUGCGCCCCUGCUUCUGGCUUGAGCACUGACUGUGCAGAGGUGGUGGCUGGAGUGGAGACAGCCACACUACAAUCAUGAGGGAGUGACACCGACAUUCUCUUAAUGGUGACAGCAGACCCUUGAGGGAUGGAGUAGGACAAACGCAAAUACUGAAGACAAAGAAAUAAAGAAGCAGGACGUUAUCCAGGGUGUGGAGGAGGGCCAGCCAGGGGCCAGCCAGCACAGAGGGCACUCCCGAGGGCUAUCUACA
rnacentral:lncRNA from 1 species